UUUAUUUGGAUUCAAGGUUUUGUGAAUUCCUUGUAUUUUAAGUAACAAUUUAAUUUAAAAAAAACUAUUAGUGUAGUCUGAAAACUACAAUAUAUACCUAGAAGUAGAUAAUGAUAAUAAACUCUCCUUCUACUUUGUAUUUUAAAGUUUAUACAGGAGUCACAAUGGACACAGAAAGGUAUACAGUUCAUUCAUCCAAUUUGUCUUGAUCUAUCAACAUCAGUGCUUAUUUUUACUUUGCAAAUUUUUAAUUUUUUCAACAACAUGUGAUCCCAAGAAUUGCAAUUAAAAGGGUCGUUGGCUCAAAUGGACGUGGAUUCUCAUUGAAAGACAAUCAUGGAAAUACUUAUUGAAAGCUUCAGAAUCGCAGGGACAGUUUCACAGUUCGGUGUUCUCUAUGGCGUUCAAAGUGCCCUGCCCGCGGUAAAGUUUUGAAUGGUGAACCAAAUACAGUCCUAUUGAAUAUUGGACAUCAGUAUAACAGAGAACCAGUAGUAUUGGCUGAAUUUAGAAAAACUCUACACCAACGAGCAUAAAAUGAACGUUUACAACUACAUACUAUUUACAAUGAGGUUUCUGCAUUGCCAAAUUACAUGGACGCAAAUUUACCUCCGUUUGAGGCACACCGGCGACAAAUGGCACAAACUUGGAGUGCUAACAGACCACCAAAUCCCAUAUCGUUGACUGAACAGCAACUAAAAAAUAAUCAAUAUGCAGAGUUAUUAAAAAUCUAGGAACAAUCUUUUUUUCAUGGACAAACUGGUAUGAUAGAAGAAGAAGGUAUUGUUUUGGUUUUUGUACCUCAAGUUUAAAACAUUUUUAGGACAAGCCAACAUUUUUAUAUCGAUGGCACAUUUUAUGCUGCACUAAGCUUUGGUGGACAAUGUCAGCAACUAUUAAUUGUUAUUAUGGGUGUUAUGAGUUAUUUUAUUGAAAUUAAUUUCAUUUUUUUUUUUAUGAAACUCAUAUUUGGGCGGUUUUUAACAUCAGUUAAAAUAUAUAAUAAUAUGAAA